UGGGUGAGGCAGUGGCAGUAUCAUAGCCAAUGAGGUUAAUCCGAGGCGUGAUUAUUGCUAGUGGAAUCUUUUACUGGGCUGACUUCUGUUGGUGAGAGAGACAAACUUUCAAGCUUACACUGAG
rnacentral:snRNA from 1 species